GAUGAACGCUGGCGGCGUGCCUAAUACAUGCAAGUCGAGCGAACGGACGAGAAGCUUGCUUCUCUGAUGUUAGCGGCGGACGGGUGAGUAACACGUGGAUAACCUACCUAUAAGACUGGGAUAACGUCGGGAAACCGGAGCUAAUACCGGAUAAUAUUGUGAACCGCAUGGUUCAAAAGUGAAAGACGGUCUUGCUGUCACUUAUAGAUGGAUCCGCGCUGCAUUAGCUAGUUGGUAAGGUAACGGCUUACCAAGGCAACGAUGCAUAGCCGACCUGAGAGGGUGAUCGGCCACACUGGAACUGAGACACGGUCCAGACUCCUACGGGAGGCAGCAGUAGGGAAUCUUCCGCAAUGGGCGAAAGCCUGACGGAGCAACGCCGCGUGAGUGAUGAAGGUCUUCGGAUCGUAAAACUCUGUUAUUAGGGAAGAACAUAUGUGUAAGUAACUGUGCACAUCUUGACGGUACCUAAUCAGAAAGCCACGGCUAACUACGUG
rnacentral:rRNA from 1 species